AAAAAAAAAAAAAAACAUAAAUUAAAUCCUCCCUGGGGCCAAGCGUAGGAAAUCUUUAAUACAUUUUUCCGCGUCUGCUUCGGUUGGAGACAGAAGGACGGGGUUCCUCAUAGCUGAAGCUGUAUGUUAAAAGAAACAAUUACAAAAAUGUAAAAAGAUCGAGCAACCUGCUUUCACUUAUAUUGCAAUGAACGUCAGAUAUUUUUUUUCUUUAUCUGGUUCUUCUGAAUAAAUUGGACAAAGUUAUCUAAAUAGCAUAAAGAACAAAUAAUAUUAGCUGCUGGUUCGACGCCAACAGCCAAACAAGAAGAAGAAGCACGUGAACUAUGCACGUGAGUUAGGGUGCAUGCGUCAAAGCUCUUCCCGCGUUAUUCAACUUAACCAUGUGCCCUGCUGUGCAGAAUACACGUCUAGAUUAGUUGCAAGGGAGGAUUUGCUUAAGGAGUGCUCCGAUGUGUGAUUUUCGGAUGCCUCUCUUGUCUCCCCUCCCGCACCAGUUCAACUGUCGGGCGACGUCAGUGGAGAACACCUUGGAGCAAAUCCUCCAUACAGUUUUCUUCAUGCUCGGCCCGCCACUGAUGGAUAAUCUGUUCACCUUCAACAGCCUAUCUAGGUCUGCAGUAGAUGCUAGAGGAAAGACACCACCCUCUUCCUCUUCAGCUAUCUGCAUUUGGGGUACAACACGCCUGUUCCCCACUAGAGACUGGACCAGUGAAGUCAGAUGGUUGAUCUUCAUGUCCAUUUUCUCUAGUGUUUCCAGAAUUGCCCUUUCUACAGCUGCAAUACAUAAGAUAAUUUAACUUGUACUCAAGACUGGAUUUUCCUGUCUCCCACCAGAAGUACCUUGUUUUCUGGUUUGCUAAAGAGCCUCACUGGAGCUCAAAAUGGAGUUGCCAGGCCUUCAGGCUGACAACAGAAGGUCUGAACCCCUUUGAUUGGCCAAGGACUACCAGUUUGAUUUAGUUCAAUUCUACUAAAACGUGCAGAUUAUUGUACUUUCAGAACAAACUGCUUCCUGUGAAUGUUGCAGUCCAUCAUGUCUGUAUUCCUGGACAUUGUUCAUGUUAUCAGACAUUGUGUUUUUCCCCUUCUUAACUUACUCGGUGUUCUUCCUUGGUGUGCCCCUGAGGGUCUCAGGACAGAAAAGGUGGAUGAGCACUCCAGCCGUCACCAUGAUGGUCUGCCUGAGAGACGCCCACUGGAGCUGAGAAAGAUGGACUUGGGCCUGCCAUCUUGUCUUUUUGGCUUGUUGUUUCUGAUUGCACUUUAACCUCAAGAGGGAAAUCCCGAUCAAAUCCCAGAAGGUGGAUGAGCACUCCAGCUGUCAUCAUGAUGGUCUGCCUGAGAGACGCCCACUGGAGCUGAGAAAGAUGGAAUUGAUCAACACACCAGCCGUCUCCGUGAUGGUCUGCCUGAGACAUACGCAGUGGAGCUGAGAAAGGUGGAGUAGGAUUCUUGCUCUGUGUCGGGUCCACCCUUUCUCUGGCUGUGGUGCCUCCAUUGUCCUAACACUCUUCAGCAACCUGUCAAGGUCUUUAUAUGGUGGCCACCAGGAGUAGCCAUCUGCAUACCAGGACUUGGCCGCUGGGCCAGUCGUCCCUUCUCCCUCAAACUCCACGAUUAGAAAUCAACUGUUGUUGAGAGGUCAUCCACUAAAUGAAUGCCAAGUGUAGAGGAUGGCAGUGGAUAGUCAAACAAGGAUUCCUGGUGGUUGAAGAGUGUGUUGGCUUGUUCUCAACUCUUUAUAAUGUGUCGCCUCAUGGAAGGAUGCAGGUAGAGGACCAGUCGCAUGUGGUUUUUUGAGCAGAUGUGGCCUGGUUUUGUGAGUUUUUUUGCAGCAUCUUUGCAUUUCUGAGAGUCUUUUUACUAUUUGACUGAGUGGGCAUGUUGGUUUCCUCCGAAGUCUUUUGAGUUUGUUUAGGUGAUUCUCAUACUUGAAAGCACUGAAGUUGUCAAGGACACCAUGCUUUUUCGCAUCAUCUGCAAGAUGUACAAGACAGUGUGCAUUGUAGGACAAGAAUUGUGGACCAUACAGUUGACCAAAGUGAGAGACAACGAGCACCACCUACAAGUCAGAGGACCCAUCUUCAGCCACAAGAGAAGAAGCCGUCUCAUGAUGGUGCAUGUAGUCGAGGGGGAGACCAGAGACCAUGUUUAGGGAUGUUUCUUCAAGAGUGUCCCUAGGAUGGGCCAGAACUGUGAUGCUGAGCUCUUAUAAAGUGGCAAACCAUCAAUGCUGACCUGAAGCUCCGGCGUGUGAAUGUUGUGCAGAAUGUCAACAUUCUGAUGUAGCACCUCUGCAAUUGAAUUCAGCACUCCGAAAUGCAAGGCAUUCGAUUGGAUGGUAGGUGCUGAUGUCGCGCUGCAAGAACAACAUGGCACGGGUUCAAAGCCUUAUUCAACUGAGAAAAUUGAUCAGCGUCAUGGUACAAGCGAAGUCUGAAUGGUUUGUUUCCCUGUUUCUUCUGCCUUGGCUGCACCAGCUGUGGAAACCAGACCUGGUGAGGAUUCUCUCCUCCAUCCUCAACUAUUGAACCUCUUAUAUCACUCGGAUGAGGUGUUCUGGAACCAGACUGGAGCUUGUGUAAAUCCUAAUUAC